AUCAAUCUUGGUGGUGAUGUAGGUUGUAUGAUCAGUGAAGGCCCCUGGGUUUUUGUUGGGAUACCCAAUUUUGUUAAGGCCUGGAACACACAAAAUUUAAUGGAGCUAAGUCUUAAUGGCCCUGUUGGGACAAGUUUAUGCACUUGUUGUGAAUAAUGACAUGCUCUUUGCCGGUACACAGGAUGGAUCUAUAUUGGCAUGGAAGUUUAAUGUAGUUACCAACUGCUUUGAGCCGGCUGCAUCACUUAAAGGUCAUUCUCGUGGUGUUGUUUCAUUAGUUGUUGGUGCUAAUAGACUGU